rnacentral:snoRNA from 9 species
GAUCAAUGAUGAAACCUAUCCCGAAGCUGAUUACCUGAAGAAAAAAAAGCACAUACGGAUUCGGCUUCUGAGAU